rnacentral:rRNA from 1 species
AUGGAGAAGGCAUUGGCCAAGUUAUGGGAUAUGUAUGAGGAGAGUAAGUCAGGUAGGACCAAUGACAAUCUGGAGAGUUCCUUUCUAAUUCACAACCUGACAGAAGAGAAGAAGAAACUACAGGAGAAUUAUGACAGUUUGUAUGCUGAUGUCAAUGCUCUCUUGGAUGCCCAGCAACAGAGGGGUCUGGAGUUGAGCAAUCAAAAGGAGCAUAAGCAAUGUCUUGAUGUGAAGAUUGCAGAGCUAGAAACUGUAGUGGGCAACUUGAAGGCAGAGCUGGCAAAGAAAGAGGAGGAGAAGAAAGUACAGGAGGACUAUGACAGUUUGUAUGCUGAUGUGAAUGCUCUCUUGGAUGCCCAGCGGCAGAAGGGUGUGGAGUUAAACAAUCAGAAGGAGCAGAAGGAAUAUGUUGAUUUGAAGAUUGCUGAGCUAGAAACUGUAAUGGGCAACUUGAAGGCAGAGCUGUCAAAGCAAGAGGAGGAGAAGAAGAAGUUGCUGCAAAAGUAUGAGACUCCAGUGAACCCGACAGGUGCUCAAGCCAAUGUGAUUAGGAACUUGAAGUUCAAUCAUUUGAAGGAGAAGGAAAGGCUGACAGAAGAGAGGCUUAAAUUGCAGCAUCACAUUUCUGAGCUUCAAAAGUCUGAGGAGAAGAUAAAACAGAAGCUUCAAGGGGUGAAGGCCAUCUUAGAUGAGUAG